rnacentral:piRNA from 1 species
UGGUUCAUUUGUAGUCUACCA